rnacentral:misc_RNA from 1 species
GAUGAAGAACGUAGCGAAAUGCGAUAAGUAAUGCGAAUUGCAGAAUCCGUGAGUCAUCGAAUCUUUGAACGCACAUUGCGCCCUCUGGUAUUCCGGAGGGCAUGCCUGUUCGAGCGUCAUUAUCACCCCUCAAGCCCGGCUUGUUGUUGGGCGACGUCCUCUUUGGGGACGCGCCUCGAAACGCUCGGCGGCGUGGCACCGGCUUUAAGCGUAGCAGAAUCUUUCGCUUUGGAAGUCGGGGCCCCGUCUGCCGGAAGACCUGCUCGCAAGGUUGACCUCGGAUCAGGCAGGGAUACCCGCUGAACUUAAGCAUAUCAAUAAGCGGAGGA